rnacentral:tRNA from 1 species
ACUAAUUUGGCAGAAAAAAUUGUAUCAAAUUUAGAAUUUGAAAAUGGUUUUACCAAUUAGUG